rnacentral:rRNA from 1 species
GAUGAACGCUGGCGGCGUGCUUAACACAUGCAAGUAGAACGGUGAAGCCCAGCUUGCUGGGUGGAUCAGUGGCGAACGGGUGAGUAACACGUGAGCAAUCUGCCCCUGACUCUGGGAUAAGCGCUGGAAACGGCGUCUAAUACUGGAUAUUAACCGUGGAGGCAUCUUCAACGGUUGGAAAGAUUUUUUGGUCAGGGAUGAGCUCGCGGCCUAUCAGCUUGUUGGUGAGGUAAUGGCUCACCAAGGCGUCGACGGGUAGCCGGCCUGAGAGGGUGACCGGCCACACUGGGACUGAGACACGGCCCAGACUCCUACGGGAGGCAGCAGUGGGGAAUAUUGCACAAUGGGCGCAAGCCUGAUGCAGCAACGCCGCGUGAGGGAUGACGGCCUUCGGGUUGUAAACCUCUUUUAGCAGGGAAGAAGCGAAAGUGACGGUACCUGCAGAAAAAGCGCCGGCUAACUACGUGCCAGCAGCCGCGGUAAUACGUAGGGCGCAAGCGUUAUCCGGAAUUAUUGGGCGUAAAGAGCUCGUAGGCGGUUUGUCGCGUCUGCUGUGAAAUCCCGAGGCUCAACCUCGGGUCUGCAGUGGGUACGGGCAGACUAGAGUGCGGUAGGGGAGAUUGGAAUUCCUGGUGUAGCGGUGGAAUGCGCAGAUAUCAGGAGGAACACCGAUGGCGAAGGCAGAUCUCUGGGCCGUAACUGACGCUGAGGAGCGAAAGGGUGGGGAGCAAACAGGCUUAGAUACCCUGGUAGUCCACCCCGUAAACGUUGGGAACUAGUUGUGGGGUCCAUUCCACGGAUUCCGUGACGCAGCUAACGCAUUAAGUUCCCCGCCUGGGGAGUACGGCCGCAAGGCUAAAACUCAAAGGAAUUGACGGGGACCCGCACAAGCGGCGGAGCAUGCGGAUUAAUUCGAUGCAACGCGAAGAACCUUACCAAGGCUUGACAUAUACGAGAACGCUGCAGAAAUGUAGAACUCUUUGGACACUCGUAAACAGGUGGUGCAUGGUUGUCGUCAGCUCGUGUCGUGAGAUGUUGGGUUAAGUCCCGCAACGAGCGCAACCCUCGUUCUAUGUUGCCAGCACGUAAUGGUGGGAACUCAUGGGAUACUGCCGGGGUCAACUCGGAGGAAGGUGGGGAUGACGUCAAAUCAUCAUGCCCCUUAUGUCUUGGGCUUCACGCAUGCUACAAUGGCCGGUACAAAGGGCUGCAAUACCGUAAGGUGGAGCGAAUCCCAAAAAGCCGGUCCCAGUUCGGAUUGAGGUCUGCAACUCGACCUCAUGAAGUCGGAGUCGCUAGUAAUCGCAGAUCAGCAACGCUGCGGUGAAUACGUUCCCGGGUCUUGUACACACCGCCCGUCAAGUCAUGAAAGUCGGUAACACCUGAAGCCGGUGGCCCAACCCUUGUGGAGGGAGCCGUCGAAGGUGGGAUCGGUAAUUAGGACUAAGUCGUAACAAGGUAGCCGUACCGGAAGG